rnacentral:rRNA from 1 species
CACUCCUACGGGAGGCAGCAGUGGGGAAUAUUGGACAAUGGGCGCAAGCCUGAUCCAGCCAUGCCGCGUGAGUGAUGAAGGCCCUAGGGUUGUAAAGCUCUUUCACCGGUGAAGAUAAUGACGGUAACCGGAGAAGAAGCCCCGGCUAACUUCGUGCCAGCAGCCGCGGUAAUACGAAGGGGGCUAGCGUUGUUCGGAUUUACUGGGCGUAAAGCGCACGUAGGCGGACUAUUAAGUCAGGGGUGAAAUCCCGGGGCUCAACCCCGGAACUGCCUUUGAUACUGGUAGUCUUGAGUUCGAGAGAGGUGAGUGGAAUUCCGAGUGUAGAGGUGAAAUUCGUAGAUAUUCGGAGGAACACCAGUGGCGAAGGCGGCUCACUGGCUCGAUACUGACGCUGAGGUGCGAAAGCGUGGGGAGCAAACAGGAUUAGAUACCCCGGUAGUCCCAUGA